UUAAGCAUAUCAAUAAGCGGAGGAAAAGAAACUAACAAGGAUUCCCCUAGUAACUGCGAGUGAAGCGGGAAAAGCUCAAAUUUGAAAUCUGGCGGUUCCUUGGACCGUCCGAGUUGUAAUCUAGAGAAGUGUUACCUGUGCUGGACCGUGUACAAGUCUCCUGGAAUGGAGCAUCACAGAGGGUGAGAAUCCCGUCUUUGACACGGACUGCCUGUGCGAUAUGGUGCGCUCUCGAAGAGUCGAGUUGUUUGGGAAUGCAGCUCAAAAUGGGUGGUAAAUGCCAUCUAAAGCUAAAUAUUGGCGAGAGACCGAUAGCGAACAAGUACCGUGAGGGAAAGAUGAAAAGAACUUUGGAAAGAGAGUUAAACAGUACGUGAAAUUGCUGAAAGGGAAACGCUUGAAGUCAGUCGCGUCGGCUAGAAAUCAGUCUUGCUUCUGCUUGAUGUACUUUCUGGUCUGACGGGUCAGCAUCAAUUUUGACCGCCGGAUAAAGUCAUCGGGGGUUUAAUCAUCCCGUGUUGCAUACGGUGGUUGGGAUUGAGGAACUCAGCACGCCGCGAGGCCGGGUCCUUUGGACCACGUUCGUGCUCAGGAUGCUGGCAUAAUGGCUUUAAUCGACCCGUCUUGAAACACGGACCAAGGAGUCUAACAUGCCUGCGAGU
rnacentral:rRNA from 1 species